UACGUAGGUGACAAGCGUUGUCCGGAUUUACUGGGCGUAAAGAGCGCGCAGGCGGUCGAUCAAGUCGAGUGUGAAAGCCCCCGGCUCAACUGGGGAGGGUCAUUCGAUACUGACGUCACUCGAAGGCAGGAGAGGGAGCGGAAUUCCCGGUGUAGUGGUGAAAUGCGUACGAUAUCGGGAAGAACACCCGUGGCGAAGGCGGCUCUCUGGGACGGUACUGACGCUGAGGAGCGAAAGCGUGGGGAGCAAACAGG
rnacentral:rRNA from 1 species